GGGAUCGCCAAGCGUGUCGCGACCCCCUGAUCAUCCCUGAUAAGGAUGAGGUCCCUGGUUCAAAUCCAGGUGGGCCCA
rnacentral:tRNA from 1 species